rnacentral:rRNA from 1 species
GACGAACGCUGGCGGCGUGCUUAACACAUGCAAGUCGAGCGGAAAGGCCACUUCGGUGGUACUCGAGCGGCGAACGGGUGAGUAACACGUGAGUAAUCUGCCCCUGGCUUUGGGAUAGCCACCGGAAACGGUGAUUAAUACCGGAUACGACCACUUCUCGCAUGGGAUGGUGGUGGAAAGUUUUUUCGGCCAGGGAUGUGCUCGCGGCCUAUCAGCUUGAUGGUGAGGUAAUGGCUCACCAUGGCUUCGACGGGUAGCCGGCCUGAGAGGGUGGCCGGGAACGCUGGGACUGGGACACGGCCCAGACUCCAACGGGAGGCAGGAGUGGGGAAUAUUGGACAAUGGGCGGAAGCCUGAUCCAGCAACGCUGCGUGGGGGAUGACGGCCUUCGGGUUGUAAACCUCUUUCAGCAGGGACGAAGCGCAAGUGACGGUACCUGCAGAAGAAGCACCGGCCAACUACGUGCCAGCCGCCGCCGUAA